rnacentral:rRNA from 1 species
CCAUGAAUCUGGUCUUGGGACACUGUCAGGUGGGCAGUUUGACUGGGGCGGUCGCCUCCCAAAAGGUAACGGAGGCGCUCAAAGGUUCUCUCAGUACGGUCGGAAAUCGUACGUAGAGUGUAAAGGCAAAAGAGAGCUUGAUUGCAAGACAUACAGGUCGAGCAAGGAUGAAAAUCGGACUUAGUGAUCCGGUGGUUCUGCGUGGAAGGGCCAUCGCUCAACGGAUAAAAGCUACCCUGGGGAUAACAGGCUUAUCUCCCCCAAGAGUCCACAUCGACGGGGAGGUUUGGCACCUCGAUGUCGGCUCAUCACAUCCUGGGGCUGUAGUAGGUCCCAAGGGUUGGGCUGUUCGCCCAUUAAAGUGGUACGCGAGCUGGGUUCAGAACGUCGUGAGACAGUUCGGUCCCUAUCCGUCGCAGGCGUAGGAAAUUUGAGAAGACCUGUCCUUAGUACGAGAGGACCGGGAUGGACGUACCUCUGGUGUACCAGUUGUUCUGCCAAGGGCAUGGCUGGGUAGCUAUGUACGGAAUGGAUAAGCGCUGAAAGCAUCUAAGCGCGAAGCCAACUUCAAGAUAAGAUUUCCCACCGCAAGGGUAAGACCCCAGAAAGACUA